rnacentral:lncRNA from 1 species
UGGGUUUUCAAAGUCUAACUUGUAAAGUGAGGAAUGUACCUCAUUUAUAUAUUAUAAAUUGGUCUUAUAUCUAGUCGAUAUGAAAUUUUUAACACAUUCUCUUCACGCUGAGGUAUAAACAUCUCGUGAGUGAUAGUAGAGAUUAGAUGGUCCAAUAUUGGCCCGACAACGGAUAGAAUGGAAACAUAAAUGCCCGCUU